UACGGGGGGGGCAAGCGUUGUUCGGAAUUACUGGGCGUAAAGGGCUCGUAGGUGGCCAACUAAGUCAGACGUGAAAUCCCUCGGCUUAACCGGGGAACUGCGUCUGAUACUGGAUGGCUUGAGUUUGGGAGAGGGACGCGGAAUUCCAGGUGUAGCGGUGAAAUGCGUAGAUAUCAGGAGGAAUACCGGUGGCGAAAGCGACUCUCUGGACGGCAACUGACGCUGAGGCACGAAAGCGUGGGGAGCAAACAGG
rnacentral:rRNA from 1 species